AUGAACGCUGGCGGCGUGCCUAAUACAUGCAAGUCGAGCGAACAGAUAAGGAGCUUGCUCCUUUGACGUUAGCGGCGGACGGGUGAGUAACACGUGGGUAACCUACCUAUAAGACUGGGAUAACUUCGGGAAACCGGAGCUAAUACCGGAUAACAUUUGGAACCGCAUGGUUCUAAAGUGAAAGAUGGUUUUGCUAUCACUUUUAGAUGGACCCGCGCCGUAUUAGCUAGUUGGUAAGGUAACGGCUUACCAAGGCGACGAUACGUAGCCGACCUGAGAGGGUGAUCGGCCACACUGGAACUGAGACACGGUCCAGACUCCUACGGGAGGCAGCAGUAGGGAAUCUUCCGCAAUGGGCGAAAGCCUGACGGAGCAACGCCGCGUGAGUGAUGAAGGGUUUCGGCUCGUAAAACUCUGUUAUUAGGGAAGAACAAAUGUGUAAGUAACUGUGCACGUCUUGACGGUACCUAAUCAGAAAGCCACGGCUAACUACGUG
rnacentral:rRNA from 1 species